CACAACAAUGGCCCCUUUGCCGUGCGUACCAUCUGCCAGCAAAGACAUCUCACUAAGCCCUCCUAACCCUGGAUCUUGUGCUGCACCUUCUAUCACGACGCUAGCACCUGUGCCCUGUGCAUCUUAUGCCAAGGACAACAUGCUGCCAAGCCCUGCAGUGAAUGGUGGAAGGUGUCAUGUUCCUCGACCCACGAC